AUGAACGCUGGCGGCGUGCCUCAUACGUGCAAGUCGAGCGAACAGAUGAGGAGCUUGCUCCUCUGACGUUAGCGGCGGACGGGUGAGUAACACGUGGAUAACCUACCUAUAAGACUGGGAUAACUUCGGGAAACCGGAGCUAAUACCGGAUAAUAUAUUGAACCGCAUGGUUCAAUAGUGAAAGACGGUUUUGCUGUCACUUAUAGAUGGAUCCGCGCCGCAUUAGCUAGUUGGUAAGGUAACGGCUUACCAAGGCAACGAUGCGUAGCCGACCUGAGAGGGUGAUCGGCCACACUGGAACUGAGACACGGUCCAGACUCCUACGGGAGGCAGCAGUAGGGAAUCUUCCGCAAUGGGCGAAAGCCUGACGGAGCAACGCCGCGUGAGUGAUGAAGGUCUUCGGAUCGUAAAACUCUGUUAUUAGGGAAGAACAAAUGUGUAAGUAACUAUGCACGUCUUGACGGUACCUAAUCAGAAAGCCACGGCUAACUACGUG
rnacentral:rRNA from 1 species